UUUCUUUAUUACAAUUGGUUUCUACAGUCAAAGCCAGCAAAUUUAGAACUAAAGGUAUAAGAACCAGUCAUAUUAAAGAAUCACUGACAAACUGGGUUUGUCUAUUAAACGCAGCCAUCGCAUAUAUCGUAACGAAAUAUUUAAUAUUUUUUUUAUUUUCCAACACGUGUCCACGGUACCUUUAGCGAGGCAAAAAGAGAAGCUCACGAGAGAAGAAAAAAUUAAUCCGCAAUAGCACGCGUCCACUGCUAGCAUAGUAUUAUAGGCAUAAGAUGCUCGUCGGAGCGUGGUCCAGACUACAUCUGCCGCUCCGAUAUCCCUCCGCCCUUUCAACGAAAAAACGGAAUCGCGGCUAAGUCGAUUUAAAUUAUUCAACCAAAUUUUUUUCAUGUCACCUUUUACUUCUAUCUCGCUUUCAUCUCUUAGCACAACUAUAAUCGUUUUCGGUGCACGUGCCGAGAACAUCGCUACGGUCAUUUUUAUCGUCAUUCAGGUGGUACAUCUCCAACGAAUUUCUUUUUUUUUUGUCAUUCAAUGGAACACACUUUGUGGCAUGUUCCACAAAGUUUUAUCUCCGGCCGAUAUGAUUAAGAUUCGAUAAGUUUUAAUUUCGACCGGUAUAACAAUUUUGCAAAUAAAGAAAUAAAAUUGCUAAUUAUUGUACGAUGCUGCGAUACCACAACAAUAUUAAUAUUUAUCAUGCUUGAGAUAAUGUGAAUUUAUGCGUAUCUUUUAUAUAUAAUAAUGCACGGACGACGCGUACAGUGCCAGAAGAUAUAUUCGUAUUAGGGCGGACCUCUUGUAAAACUUUUGCCGGAUUCAAAGGAAAUGUCAGUACGCGCAUAAAUCAAAUUAACUAUGUAAAAGUCCACAUUUGGGUCCAUUCGGUGACAGUUAUUAAAAAGAAUGAACCCCUUGAACAGAUGCUCUUCCUACCACCGUGGAAAUCAUGCCGCGACCGUUUUGAUUUAUACAUCGGCCGCAUGGGUGGGCCCUCGGAGUUUUCGGUAGCGGAAAGGAAAACUCUUUAAUAGUUUCACGCGUGCGCCAGGCCCCAUUAUCGGGACACGGUUAGGCUCCGACAGACAGAGAGAGAUAGAAGGAGUCGCCGCCUUGGAUCUCCAAAGAACGGAAUAUGCCUCCGAAAAGUUCAUUAAAAACGAUUUCACGUCACCCGAAAGAUCAUUUACGAUAAUUAGUUUCGUAUACAGUCUUUGCAGUUUCCUUGACACGAUUAAAGUACAACGACACUCGAUUUAGGACUUUUAUACCGUCGUAUUUCAUACCGACGACCGAAAUAAUCUACCCCAAUUAGAAAUGGUAACUCAAAUCGACAUCAAAUCGAUAUUAAAUCGACGCCGAUAAGUCAAUAAAUAGUCAACGUCAAAUAUUAUAUGGUAGUUGAUAUUUUUGUCACCUGUCACCUUUGACCUCAUUAUAUGUGUUUUUUCAGUUGUUAAUUCAGCAAUUGCGAAUAUUUCUAUAAGAUUUCUAUUGUCUUUCAGCAAAUUCUACAUGGAAUCGAUGCCAAAUCGGAAAGUAUAUAUGCACAUAUAUACUGUGUAUUUGAUAUAUUAAAAUUAACCGGAAAAAAAAGGAAUCUAUAUACCUAUACAUAUUUGCGAUUAAUCAAUUAACAUAAGAACAAUUAUGAUAAAGUCGAAAAUGACAAAAAUAUCAAACACAAUAUUUGACAUUGAUCUUUUAUCGACACAUUAAUGUGUCGAUAAAAUAAAUCGAAUCGACAUCAAUUCGAUUUAUCAUUUCUGGCUGGGAGGAAGACUUCUAUGUAUAUAAAAUUCUUCGAGGAUGUAAAAAAGGCGCGCGUGCCUGGAUCUGGCUGUUCCUACAGCACAAUUUUACUCACACGCAAUUUCGUUCGUAUACGUAUAAAUUGCCGAUGGAGAAAUAAUUUGUAUAUCGAAAUAGGCGAACACGAGAGUGGCUUUAUACGUCGUCGCAGGAUACGCGGAUCCAGUACGGAGUCAGUUGCUCGUGAUAAACUACCGGCACAAGGAUCGAAGCUAUAACGCUCUCGUAAACAUCCACCCACCCCCUGCCGUCUUCACCACCGACGAUGAUAUCGUCUCUUCCUUUUCACGGCACUUACACCGCGACACGGCUGACAGCAACAGGCGGCACAUGUCUCUUUUAUCCUCUUUCACCUCCGAUCGUGAUAUACUUACUCAGCUUUUACUGGUUUCCCCAGCUCUCUCUCUCUCGGUCGCGAGGCGUUCGUGAAAUGGCGCGUGCGGACACGUUUUUAUGCACGUAAUUCACGAUCCUGGAGCUUGUUAGUCUCAGACGCGGAGAUGAGCUAUUGCUAAUAUUUAAUCUCUGCAGUAUCUCGUAAUGCGAUGAUCUGCAAGCUGCAACACGGUCGUCUCUGCAAUGAGAAAAUGCACAAGCUGACUGAUCAAACAUAAAGUUUUCCGCUCAAGCUGAACCUGUUUGCAAUGCCGAGCCGUUACCUAAAGCGCAUGUGAAACAAGCCAUGAAAUUUAAUUAAUUAAAUGCUCCACGUGUAACGUCUCUGCCAAAUUAAUUACCGGAGCACGUGGAUUUAUUAUCCCGCUGCCCGAAAGCAGCUGCGUCUCGCGAUCGCGCCCAAGUAAAUUGAGGACUCGCGUAAUUAUACGUUUCGCCGAGGAGAAGAUGAUGAGAGAGCGCAUCGCGAGAUAUUCCCGACGUCUCGGGCGAUGAUAGCAGCCCAGGCUGCAAGAACUCAAUCGCUUUUACGAACAUUAUAUAGGUGAAUAGCGAGUUUCGCUAUUGCGAAGCAAGUCUCGCUGACUCGACACGAUUUAACGUUUGCGGAGUAUCGCGUCGUGUAAAUCAACAUAUGCGUGCCCCUUUUUUUCCCACCCGUACCCGUCGCAUUCGAAUCCCCCGCUCGUAUUAUGCAGAAAACCUCAUUGUUGCCUCGCUCAAUGGCGAGCAGGGUGGAUUCUGGAUAUAUUCUCGUUUUACAUAAUUCCGUCGUGGUCAUCGGGUAUGGCAGGUUCCCGGCGAGAUCCAGUUGCUGAAGAAAAAUAUAGAAAUCGAAGAAUUGAUAAAAUAAUACCGUAGCGAUUAUCGUGACGAUAAAAAUAAUUUUUGACAACUGAUGUGGUUUAACGCUGCUAUUUGUAACAACGCUAAGUGUGUUAUAUUAUUGACGUGACUACAUGUCCCACUUUCGAAGCGAUCGUUUCGCUGUCUCGCUAAACAUAAUCAAAAUGUGAAUAAGUAUGUUACUUUUUUUUAAGUAAAUCGCUAUAAAUAUUACUUUUAUCUUU